AAUCUAAAGCUGAAUUAAAGUUGGAAGGAGGAGGGGUUCUCUCAGUGUGUUUCUUCCCUUGUUUAUUGAUUGGCUUUAAAAAAAAUUCAGGAGAGCGGUGCCUGGGUGGCUCAGUCGGUUGGGUGUCUGACUUCGGCUCAGGAGAAGGCAUUUUCCAUGAAAAAUCAACACACCAUGUCCUGGGAGAGCUGGGAUCCUACCUGGCACCUUGUGGGAAACACUUCAGGCCUGGAUGAAAGAAGAAGGAAGACGGGGCCAAAAUGAAGUCAGGAGGAACAGAGAUGCUGCAAGCCAGAGGACACAUCACUCUAAAAGGCUUUAUAGAGAAGGCUGAGUACGGAUGGAAAAUUUAUGCCUGGAAGGAUGUUACCAUACAGAAAAGAUUUGGGGGUACGUAAGAAUUGGUAGAAAUUCUUUCUCAGCUGGAAAUUCUGGCCCAAGGUUUCCAAAGCAAGCAUAAUUUUGUAGACUUCAGCUUUUAUGAAUUACCGUGAGGGCUGAUACUGCCUUAUGUCAAAUUUCUUAAGUAGAGGAAUGUCUCUUAAUUAAUCAUUAAAAAAAAAUAAAAGAAUAAA